UGGGGAAUAUUGCACAAUGGGCGAAAGCCUGAUGCAGCGACGCCGCGUGAGGGAUGACGGCCUUCGGGUUGUAAACCUCUUUCAGUAGGGACGAAGCGCAAGUGACGGUACCUGCAGAAGAAGCACCGGCUAACUACGUGCCAGCAGCCGCGGUAAUACGUAGGGUGCGAGCGUUGUCCGGAAUUACUGGGCGUAAAGAGCCCGUAGUCGGUUUGUCACGUCGUCUGUGAAAUCCUAUGGCUUAACCCUGGACGUGCAGGCGAUACGGGCUGACUUGAGUACUACAGAGGAGACUGGAAUUUCUGGUGUAGCGGUGGAAUGCACAGAUAUCAGGACGAACACCGAUGGCGCAGGCAGGUCUCUGGGUAGUAACUGACGCUGAGGAGCGAAAGCAUGGGUAGCGAACAGG
rnacentral:rRNA from 1 species